CCUACGGGAGGCUGCAGUGAGGAAUAUUGGUCAAUGGUCGGAAGCCUGAACCAGCCAAGUAGCGUGCGGGAUGACGGCCCUACGUGUUGUAAACUGCUUUUAUACGGGAAUAACGCCCCUUACGUGUAGGGCUUUGCAUGUACCGGAUGAAUAAGGACCGGCUAAUUCCGUGCCAGCAGCCGCGGUAAUACGGAAGGUCCGGGCGUUAUCCGGAUUUAUUGGGUUUAAAGGGAGCGUAGGCCGCAUGUCAAGCGUGCUGUGAAAUGGCCGGGCUCAACCCGGGCCUUGCAGCGCGAACUGGCGUGCUUGAGUCCGCGGAAAGCAGGCGGAAUGCGUGGUGUAGCGGUGAAAUGCUUAGAUAUGGCGAAGAACCCCGAUUGCGAAGGCAGCUUGCUGCAGCGGAACUGACGCUGAGGCACGAAAGCGCGGGUAUCGAACAGGAUUAGAUACCCUGGUAGUC
rnacentral:rRNA from 1 species